UACGGAGGGUGCAAGCGUUAUCCGGAUUCACUGGGUUUAAAGGGUGCGUAGGUGGGUUUGUAAGUCAGUGGUGAAAUCUCCAGGCUUAACCUGGAAACUGCCAUUGAUACUACAGGUCUUGAAUUUUCUGGAGGUAAGCGGAAUAUGUCAUGUAGCGGUGAAAUGCUUAGAUAUGACAUAGAACACCAAUUGCGAAGGCAGCUUGCUACAGGAAUAUUGACACUGAGGCACGAAAGCGUGGGGAUCAAACGGG
rnacentral:rRNA from 1 species